GGGCAGGUCGAGAGAAGUGGGAGGAUGGGGAGCAAUGCGUUUAAGAAAUGGGAGGAUCAAGAGCAAAGUGCCAAAAUUGCUAUCUAGAGAGAUAUGGAGCGGCGACUUUAAUGCACAUAACAGUUUAAGGGGAAGCACACAUACAGAUGCUAAUGAUGGGCGGACCGGAAACCCAGUGACAACACUCGGGUCUGUAGCUGCCAUUCUCCAUUGGGAAAGGGAAAUGGCCCUGUAUUUAACAGAAAAGGUAGCUCAUCCACCAUGGCAGAUGAGGAAGAUCCAGACUGUUGAUUGGGAAACAAGAACAAACAAUGAGGCAUGAGAAUUGGCUGUUGAGGGACCACUUGUCACAUUGUCCAAGUCCAACAGAAGUGCACCCUUCAGACCAUCCGGUACGUUGACAUACUGUGCCAGUGUGAUCCGAGCACAAGCGUCCAGUUGUGGAGACUACAGCACAUCUAGCCUGUGGACGGACAGCGUGACAUGCGGAACAUCAGGCUCUCCCCACGAGAAGCAGUGCAUGAUCAACGCAACCCUCAGCAAGGAGAUCUGCUGGAAGUGAUGUACUCUCUCACGCUCUCGCUCUGGGGUAAGACAUAAUUUAAACAUCACAGAUAUACUGUAAAUUCCCACUGUGCCCAUGAUAAAAUGCUAUGUGAAUUGUGUUGUAGUACUGAAUGAAACUGAGGAGAUGCACUCAGACCAGCCUUUGUGAUUGAACUUACAGUGCCUUGCAA